rnacentral:lncRNA from 1 species
AAAGUUCUGUGGAACCACCAUAAUCUAGAAGAGUGUACAUGGGAGAUGCGGGAGUCGAUGCUUCAGCAGUAUCCAUAUUUGUUUUGAGGUUAGUUUCCUCCUUUUAUGUGUUACUUGUUUGUUUUAGAAACAUUCGGGGACGAAUGUUCUUAAGGGGGGGAGAAUGUAAUACCCGGCUGGAGUCCGGCAUCAGAAUUCUACUUUCCGGUGGAGUCCAGGAUGUCGGAAGUCUCUAGAAGGGUUAGAUUUAUGUUUUUCUGAAAUGUUUUGAUAUGUUCAUUAAGUUUUAUGCAUA